rnacentral:rRNA from 1 species
UCCGUAGGGUGCGAGCGUUGUCCGGAAUUAUUGGGCGUAAAGGGCUCGUAGGCGGUUUGUCGCGUCGGGAGUGAAAUCCACUGGCUUAACUGGUGGCUUGCUUUCGAUACGGGCAGACUGGAGGUAUGCAGGGGAGAACGGAAUUCCUGGUGUAGCGGUGAAAUGCGUAGAUAUCCGGAGGAACACCGGUGGCGAAGGCGGGUCUCUGGGCCGAUACUGACGCUGAGGAGCGAAAGCGUGGGGAGCGAACAGG